rnacentral:lncRNA from 1 species
AUGAUGAGCUACGGGGAAGGGCCGAGGAGGAACACUGCGGCUACUGCUGUCCAGACCUAUCUGAGCUGGAUCAGUGACUCAGGCUCCAAGCCCCAGAGGACACUUCACAUGCGGGCCACCUCCUUGAGAUUUUCUGAGUCCCCCAUGGUGCCUGGCACCAGCCAGGGCUGCAGUGCCAUCAUGCCGGGCUGCCCUCAGCCUGGCCUGGCACUCACGUCUCUCUCCUUCAGAGGACUACCCUGUGAAUGGACCUUGCUCAGGGGUCAUCCUGAGGCCCUGUGAUGCCCGAGGACGCGUGCCCACGUGGUCAUCUGUGGCCUGUGUGUGGCCACCUGUCUCAGGAGGGCAGCCUGGCGAGCAGAUGAUCCCCAGGGACUAAACAGAGCAUUCCUUCCACAGAAAUGUGUGGCGCUAAACUGGGCUUCCCAGGUGGCACUAGAGGUAAAGAACCCGCCUGCCAAUUCAGGAGAUAUAAGAGACGCGGGUUUGAUCCUGAGUCAGGAAGACUCCCUGGAGGAGGGCAUGGCAGUCCACUCCAGUGUUCUAGCCUGGUGAAUCCCACGGACAGAGGAGAUGGUGGGCUGCAGCCUACAGGGUCACAAAGAGUCGGACAGGACCGCACACAAGCACGUGAAACUGAACUGUCAGACUGGUGCUGAUUUGAAGUAACUUUUUUAACACUCUAUUUUCUUUAUUCUUAAUGCAUAUUUUAAUUAUUUUAAUUUAAAUUUUUUCAGUUCUACUGAGGUAAAACUGACAAAAGAUACUAAAACGUACAUCAUGAUGAUUUGACACAUGUAGCCAUUGUGAAAGGGUAUCCCCACCUAGUUAAUUAACACAUUUAUCACCUCACAUAUUUAUCUCUUUAUGUGUGUGUGUGUGAGAACAUUUAAGUUCUACUCUCUCAGCAAAUGUCAUCACACAGUAAGUGUUAUCAACGACAGUCACCAUGAUAAACAUCAGAUCUUCAGAUCUGAUUUAUCUUUAUCUUGUAGCUGAAAUUUUAUGCCCUUUUGCAAAACUUUCGGUAUUUUCCGCACCCUACCCCCCUACCCCUGCCACCUCCAAAACCACUUUUCUACUCUAUUUCUCUGAGUUUGACAUUUUUUAAGAUUCCACUCAAAUUGCUUACACAGACAGGAUCCCACAAAAUAUAUUUGCCUGGGGUCCCACACAUCUAAGUGUUGGACCCAUCACAGCCUUGCUGGCAGUUGCCUAAGGCCAUUUUUCACUGUCUCAAUUGUUAUCAUCCCCAUUACAAAGAAGAGGACACUGAGGUUCACAGAGGUUAAGCAACUCCCUGGUGAAUCCCCAGCAGGUGAUGGGGCAGCCGAGUCUGGUGAGCCUGCUGUUGGCAGGUGCUCGAACCCACACUCUCCCUUGCCCACCCAUCAACUAAGGACGCCUCGGAUAUGUUCCGCCCCAGUGAAUGUGCUGACGUCUAGAACACUCCCACGCACCAGUGGUCACCUAAUCUGUGACACAGGAGGCAAGAAAUAUACAGUGGAGAAAAGACACUUUAAUAAGUGGUGCUGGGAAAACUGGACAGCUCCAUGGAAAAGAAUGAAAAUGAGAACACUCUAAUACCAUACACAAAAACAAACUCAAAAAGGGAUUAAAGACCUAAAUGUAAGACUAGAUACUAUAAAACUCAGAGGAAAACAGGCAGAACAUUCUCUGAAAUAAAUCACAGCAAGAUCUUUUUGGAUUCACCUGUGAGAGUGAUGAAAAUAAAAACAAAAAUAAACAGAUCCAGGGGCACUCGUUAAAUAGUAGCCACAUGGCCAUGAUGAGAGAAAGAGUGAGAAGUAAAUACAAUAAUGUUAUUAAUAUUUAUUAUGGAAUUUUUAUUAUCUAAUUUUUACUUUUCUAUAUUUUCUUUGUUUUUCCAACUCUAUGAUAACUAUGAAAUCCUUUUUAGACCAUUAAUCUGAUCUUUCCUUUGGAAAUUACACAAUGUAAUUGUAAUUUCUGCUUUUAAAAUUGCUUCAACGGCUUACAAAGAUUUUUUCUUCCGCGUGGUACUUGGAAAUCUCCUUGCAUCCUCAACGUUUGGUUCUUUUGCUCCUUUCUCCUCCCCACCCCACAUCUUUGGACUGAUGCUGUUAGGGGCCCCACGUGCUCCUUCUGAGCCCCAGUCCAGGUUCGUCCCAGGACGACAGAAACACUUAAGAGCGUUAACUUGGGCUUCCUGUGAACAGCAGAGACUGUGAAAAACUCAGGAUGUUCCCGCAAAUGGCACUGGGACUAUCCAGAUUGCUGGGGGUGGUGCUGAGGUUGGCUGUGAGGAGGAGGUGCCCGCGAGUGGGCAGGAAAGAGAGGCGUGUUGUCUUCUAUUAUGGGGUUCGGCCCAUCUAAGGUGGUCACACUCCCCUCUGCUGGUUUCAACAACCAGAAACAGAGGGGAGGUGAUGCAUGACUAAGAGGUGUUCUUCCAGCAGAAGGAGGGAGUCCUGUCGCUUCUGUGGGGUCAGGCUUGUUUUCUGCUGUGGGAAGAUUCCAGAACACAAAAAUAUUAGGAAGGCUCCUCGGAACUCCAGCUUUGCUAGUACACCUGCCGUGUGACCCUGUGAAGUUACACAGACCUUUUGUGCCUCAGUCUUCUUAUCUGAAAAGUGGGGAUAAAAUUUCUUUGUCAAAUGGUUGUUGUGAGGAUUAAAUAAGAUGAUGCUGGGGGCUUCCCUUGUGGCUCAGCUGGUAAAGAAUCCACCUGCAAUGCAAGAGGCCUGGGUUCGAUCCCUGAGUUGGGAAGAUCCCCUGGAGAAGGGAAAGGUUACCCACUCCAGCAUUCUGGCCUGGAGAAUUCCUUGGACUGUAUAGUCCAUGGGGUCGCAAAAAGUCGGACACCACUGAGCAACUUUAAAAAAAAAAAAAAAAGAUGAUGCUGGGACACUGUCUAGUACAGGGGACACUGCGACUAUUAUUAUUGUUGUUGAGUUGUUUUAUCUUAGAUGGUCUUUGUUUUUAUUCUUUUUUAAUUAAAAAAUUUUUUAAAGAUAUCCAUCAACACUUUAUUUUUAUUUUCUUUUAUUUAUUUAAUGUGGCUGCACUGGGUCUUCCUUGUAGUGCACUGGCUUAGCUACCCUUCAAUAUGUGGGAUCUUAGUUCCCCAACCAGGGAUUGAACUCGCACUCCCUGCAUUGGAAGCUUGGAAUCUUACCCACUGAACCACUUGGGAAGUCUAGUUUUAUGUGGUCUCAUAGAGGACAGUCUGAGAUCAUGGGCUGGUUCUCCAUGGUGUCAUUUCAAAAAGCUGGGGGAAUACCUCCCAUGUAUAUGUAGUCAGUUUUGAAAAACCAGUUGCAAAUCAAUCAUCCAUUGAUAGAGCCAAACCUUUUGUGCUUAUUUUCUAUUUCCAGUCUUUAUCACCCCUGUGGUGAUGAGGUUU